CCUACGGGUGGCAGCAGUGAGGAAUAUUGGUCAAUGGCCGAGAGGCUGAACCAGCCAAGUCGCGGGAGGGAAGACGGCCCUACGGGGUGUAAACCUCUUUUGUCGGGGAGCAAAGCGAGUCACGUGGGACGCAUUGAGAGUACCCGAAGAAAAAGCAUCGGCUAACUCCGUGCCAGCAGCCGCGGUAAUACGGAGGAUGCGAGCGUUAUCCGGAUUUAUUGGGUUUAAAGGGUGCGCAGGCGGAGGUGCAAGUCAGCGGUCAAAUUGCGGGGCUCAACCCCGUACUGCCGUUGAAACUGCUUCCCUUGCGUGCGCGAGCAGUAUGCGGCAUGCGUGGUGUAGCGGUGAAUUGCCUCGCUCUCACGC
rnacentral:rRNA from 1 species